AUGAUGGAGGACUGGCUCCAACUAGUGGAUGUCCACAGUCUAGUGCUUUUUGAUGAGCCUGAUGCUUUAAUUUGGCAAUAUGAAAGUUAUGGGAAAUACUCCAGCAGCUCUCUCUACCACAUAAUUAACUUUAGAGGGGUCAAACCUAUUUACAUCCCUGCUGUCUGGAAGUUACAUGUCCCCCCUAAAAUUCAUGCUUUUCUAUGGUUGGUUUCUCAUAACAAAAUCAUGACUAGAGACAAUCUCAGAAAAAGGCAGAUCAUUAAACCUUUGUAUUGUGUUUUUUGCUCUAAAGAUGAAACUGUUCAUCAUAUCCUUUUUGAUUGUGUGGUCGCUAUGUUUGUGUGGGCAAUCAUUAGAGAACAUUUCAAAGUAGAUGUAGGCACGGAUUAUUUGUCUGUUGCCAGAUUUUGGCUCUCAAACAAAAAGAGAUCCUCCCUUAAUGUAGCAUGUGCAGUAACCAUGUGGUGCAUAUGGAAACUUAGAAAUUCCAUUAUCUUUAACAAUGCCAUAUGGAUUUCUGUCAAGCAGGUUUUAGGGAAGAUGCUGAGUUUGACCAAGAUCUCAACACUGGUCCCGGAACAGGAGAAAGAAACUUUGGGGGGCUUCUUGAGGUACUUAAAGGAAGUGAAGGCGCCUCUAACCAUCAAGAGUGGCUGA
rnacentral:rRNA from 1 species